rnacentral:rRNA from 1 species
GUGGGGAAUAUUGGACAAUGGGCGCAAGCCUGAUCCAGCCAUGCCGCGUGAGUGAUGAAGGCCUUAGGGUUGUAAAGCUCUUUCAGUGGGGACGAUAAUGACGGUACCCACAGAAGAAGCCCCGACUAACUUCGUGCCAGCAGCCGCGGUAAUACGAAGGGGGCUAGCGUUGUUCGGAUUUACUGGGCGUAAAGCGCACGUAGGCGGAUCGUUAAGUCGGGGGUGAAAUCCUGGAGCUCAACUCCAGAACUGCCUUCGAUACUGGCGAUCUUGAGUCCGGAAGAGGUGAGUGGAACUCCUAGUGUAGAGGUGGAAUUCGUAGAUAUUAGGAAGAACACCAGUGGCGAAGGCGGCUCACUGGUCCGGUACUGACGCUGAGGUGCGAAAGCGUGGGGAGCAAACAGGAUUAGAAACCCCUGUAGUCC